GAGGGUAUAGCUCAAUUGGUAAAGCACAUGCUUAGAAUGCAUGAGGUCCUGAGUUCAAACCCCAGUAUCUCCU
rfam:Camelus ferus unplaced genomic scaffold scaffold931, whole genome shotgun sequence.